GUGCUUGCUCCAGCGGCACAUAUACUAAAAUUGGAACUUUACAGAGAUUAGCAUGGCCCCUGCGCAAGGAUGACACAUAAAUUCAUGAAGCAUUUCAUAUUUUU
rnacentral:snRNA from 1 species